GACGAACGCUGGCGGCGUGCCUAAUACAUGCAAGUUGAGCGCUGAAGGUUGGUACUUGUACCAACUGGAUGAGCAGCGAACGGGUGAGUAACGCGUGGGGAAUCUGCCUUUGAGCGGGGGACAACAAUUGGAAACGAAUGCUAAUACCGCAUAAAAACUUUAAACACAAGUUUUAAGUUUGAAAGAUGCAAUUGCAUCACUCAAAGAUGAUCCCGCGUUGUAUUAGCUAGUUGGUGAGGUAAAGGCUCACCAAGGCGAUGAUACAUAGCCGACCUGAGAGGGUGAUCGGCCACAUUGGGACUGAGACACGGCCCAAACUCCUACGGGAGGCAGCAGUAGGGAAUCUUCGGCAAUGGACGAAAGUCUGACCGAGCAACGCCGCGUGAGUGAAGAAGGUUUUCGGAUCGUAAAACUCUGUUGGUAGAGAAGAACGUUGGUGAGAGUGGAAAGCUCAUCAAGUGACGGUAACUACCCAGAAAGGGACGGCUAACUACGUG
rnacentral:rRNA from 1 species